rnacentral:tRNA from 1 species
GCCCACAUAGCUCAGGUGGUAGAGCGUCGCCUUGGUAAGGCGAAGGUCACCGGAUCAUCCCCGGUUGUGGGCU